AGAGUUUGAUCCUGGCUCAGGAUGAACGCUAGCGACAGGCUUAACACAUGCAAGUCGAGGGGCAGCGGGGAUAAAGCUUGCUUUAUCUGCCGGCGACCGGCGCACGGGUGAGUAACACGUAUGCAACCUGCCCUUUGCAGGGGGAUAACCGGAAGAAAUUCCGACUAAUACCGCAUAAUACUUUCCGGAGACAUCUCCGGGGAUUCAAAGGAAGCAAUUCCGGCAAAGGAUGGGCAUGCGUCGCAUUAGCUAGUCGGCGGGGUAACGGCCCACCGAGGCGACGAUGCGUAGGGGUUCUGAGAGGAAGGUCCCCCACACUGGUACUGAGACACGGACCAGACUCCUACGGGAGGCAGCAGUGAGGAAUAUUGGUCAAUGGGCGCAAGCCUGAACCAGCCAAGUCGCGUGAGGGAAGACGGUCCUAUGGAUUGUAAACCUCUUUUGCCGGGGAGCAAUGCAGGUCUUGCGAGGCCUGAGGGAGAGUACCCGGAGAAAAAGCAUCGGCUAACUCCGUGCCAGCAGCCGCGGUAAUACGGAGGAUGCGAGCGUUAUCCGGAUUUAUUGGGUUUAAAGGGUGCGUAGGCGGGCUGUUAAGUCAGCGGUCAAAUGUCGGGGCUCAACCCCGGCCUGCCGUUGAAACUGGCGGUCUUGAGUGAGCGAGAAGUAUGCGGAAUGCGUGGUGUAGCGGUGAAAUGCAUAGAUAUCGCGCAGAACUCCGAUUGCGAAGGCAGCAUACCGGCGCUCAACUGACGCUGAGGCACGAAAGCGUGGGGAUCGAACAGGAUUAGAUACCCUGGUAGUCCACGCAGUAAACGAUGAAUGCUACCUGUCCGGAGCUUCGGUUCUGGGUGGGACAGCGAAAGCGUUAAGCAUUCCACCUGGGGAGUACGCCGGCAACGGUGAAACUCAAAGGAAUUGACGGGGGCCCGCACAAGCGGAGGAACAUGUGGUUUAAUUCGAUGAUACGCGAGGAACCUUACCCGGGCUCAAACGCAGACGGACGAAUCGAGAAAUCGGUUUUUCCUUCGGGACUGUCUGCGAGGUGCUGCAUGGUUGUCGUCAGCUCGUGCCGUGAGGUGUCGGCUUAAGUGCCAUAACGAGCGCAACCCCUAUCUACAGUUGCUAACAGGUGAAGCUGAGGACUCUGUGGAGACUGCCGGCGCAAGCUGUGAGGAAGGCGGGGAUGACGUCAAAUCAGCACGGCCCUUACGUCCGGGGCGACACACGUGUUACAAUGGCAGGUACAGCGGGAAGCCACUUGGCGACAAGGAGCGGAACCCGAAAACCUGUCUCAGUUCGGAUUGGAGUCUGCAACCCGACUCCAUGAAGCUGGAUUCGCUAGUAAUCGCGCAUCAGCCACGGCGCGGUGAAUACGUUCCCGGGCCUUGUACACACCGCCCGUCAAGCCAUGGAAGCCGGGAGUGCCUGAAGUGCGUGACCGCAAGGAACGCCCUAGGGUAAAACCGGUGACUGGGGCUAAGUCGUAACAAGGUAACC
rnacentral:rRNA from 1 species